GACGAACGUUGGCGGCGUGCUUAACACAUGCAAGUCGAACGGAAAGGCCCUGCUUUUGUGGGGUGCUCGAGUGGCGAACGGGUGAGUAACACGUGAGUAACCUGCCCUUGACUUUGGGAUAACUUCAGGAAACUGGGGCUAAUACCGGAUAGGAGCUCCUGCUGCAUGGUGGGGGUUGGAAAGUUUCGGCGGUUGGGGAUGGACUCGCGGCUUAUCAGCUUGUUGGUGGGGUAGUGGCUUACCAAGGCUUUGACGGGUAGCCGGCCUGAGAGGGUGACCGGCCACAUUGGGACUGAGAUACGGCCCAGACUCCUACGGGAGGCAGCAGUGGGGAAUAUUGCACAAUGGGCGGAAGCCUGAUGCAGCAACGCCGCGUGCGGGAUGACGGCCUUCGGGUUGUAAACCGCUUUCGCCUGUGACGAAGCGUGAGUGACGGUAAUGGGUAAAGAAGCACCGGCUAACUACGUGCCAGCAGCCGCGGUGAUACGUAGGGUGCGAGCGUUGUCCGGAUUUAUUGGGCGUAAAGGGCUCGUAGGUGGUUGAUCGCGUCGGAAGUGUAAUCUUGGGGCUUAACCCUGAGCGUGCUUUCGAUACGGGUGACUGAGGGGAAGGUAGGGGAGAAUGGAAUUCCUGGUGGAGCGGUGGAAUGCGCAGAUAUCAGGAGGAACACCAGUGGCGAAGGCGGUUCUCUGGGCCUUUCCUGACGCUGAGGAGCGAAAGCGUGGGGAGCGAACAGGCUUAGAUACCCUGGUAGUCCACGCUGUAAACGGUGGGUACUAGGUGUGGGGUCCAUUCCACGGGUUCCGUGCCGUAGCUAACGCUUUAAGUACCCCGCCUGGGGAGUACGGCCGCAAGGCUAAAACUCAAAGGAAUUGACGGGGCCCCGCACAAGCGGCGGAGCAUGCGGAUUAAUUCGAUGCAACGCGUAGAACCUUACCUGGGUUUGACAUGGAUCGGGAGUGCUCAGAGAUGGGUGUGCCUCUUUUGGGGUCGGUUCACAGGUGGUGCAUGCCUGUCGUCAGCUCGUGUCGUGAGAUGUUGGGUUAAGUCCCGCAACGAGCGCAACCCUUGUUCACUGUUGCCAGCACGUUAUGGUGGGGACUCAGUGGAGACCGCCGGGGUCAACUCGGAGGAAGGUGGGGAUGACGUCAAGUCCUCAUGCCCCUUAUGUCCAGGGCUUCACGCAUGCUACAAUGGCUGGUACAGAGAGUGGCGAGCCUGUGAGGGUGAGCGAAUCUCGGAAAGCCGGUCUCAGUUCGGAUUGGGGUCUGCAACUCGACCUCAUGAAGUCGGAGUCGCUAGUAAUCGCAGAUCAGCAACGCUGCGGUGAAUACGUUCCCGGG
rnacentral:rRNA from 1 species